rnacentral:rRNA from 1 species
UACGUAGGGGGCAAGCGUUAUCCGGAAUUACUGGGUGUAAAGGGUGAGUAGGCGGUACGGCAAGUCAUAUGUGAAAAUCCGAGGCUUAACCUGGGACGUGCAUAAGAAACUGCCGAACUAGAGUACAGGAGAGGUAAGCGGAAUUCUUAGUGUAGCGGUGAAAUGCGUAGAUAUUAAGAAGAACACCAGUGGCGAAGGCGGCUUACUGGACUGAAACUGACGCUGAGUCACGAAAGCGUGGGGAGCAAACAGG